rnacentral:rRNA from 1 species
AAGAAAAGCUCGCGGCUGAUUAGCUAGUUGGUAAGGUAAUGGCUUACCAAGGCGACGAUCAGUAUCUGGUUUGAGAGGACGAUCAGACACACUGGAACUGAGACACGGUCCAGACUCCUACGGGAGGCAGCAGUGGGGAAUUUUCCGCAAUGGGCGAAAGCCUGACGGAGCAAUACCGCGUGAGGGAAGACAGCCUACUGGGUUGUAAACCUCUUUUUUCAGGGAGGAAAAAAAUGACGUGUACCUGAAGAAUAAGCAUCGGCUAACUCCGUGCCAGCAGCCGCGGUAAGACGGAGGAUGCAAGUGUUAUCCGGAAUUACUGGGCGUAAAGCGUCUGUAGGUUGUUUAAUAAAGUCAACUGUUAAAUCUUGAGGCUUAACUUCAAAACAGCAGUCGAAACGUAUAGUA